rnacentral:rRNA from 1 species
AACGAACGCUGGCGGCGUGGAUAAGACAUGCAAGUCGAACGGAUUUUCCGCUGUAGCAAUACAGUGGGAGGUCAGUGGCGCAGGGGGUGCGUAACACGUGGGCAACCUGCCCUGAAGUUGGGAUAGCCCGCCGAAAGGCGGAUUAAUACCGAAUGUGGCUAGCUGCCGAGUGGUGGCGACGCUAAAGCUGGGGCAACCUGGCGCUUCUGGAUGGGCCCGCGGCCUACAGCUUGUUGGUGAGGUAACGGCUCACCAAGGCGACGACGCGUAGCUGGUCUGAGAGGACGGCCAGCCACAUUGGGACUGAGACACUG